GGGGGGGGCAAGCGUUGUUCGGAAUUACUGGGCGUAAAGGGCUCGUAGGCGGCCAACUAAGUCGGAUGUGAAAUCCCCAGGCUCAACUUGGGAACUGCAUCCGAUACUGGAUGGCUUGAAUCCGGGAGAGGGAUGCAGAAUUCCAGGUGUAGCGGUGAAAUGCGUAGAUAUCUGGAGGAAUACCGGUGGCGAAGGCGGCAUCCUGGACCGGCAUUGACGCUGAUGAGCGAAAGCUAGGGGAGCAAACGGGAUUAGAUACCCCGGUAGUCCUAGCCCUAAACGAUGAAUGCUUGGUGUGGCGGGUAUCGAUCCCUGCCGUGCCGAAGCUAACGCAUUAAGCAUUCCGCCUGGGGAGUACGGUCGCAAGGCUGAA
rnacentral:rRNA from 1 species